CAAGACAUUAACCACUAUCUUUGUAGCAAGCUGUAAACAGGAACGCAAGUAACCGAGGAACGCCGUUUUAAGCAGGCUGUUUUAGCCGUUUAUCAAGAGUAACACCGCUCACUGUUCAAGAAAAAUGGAAGACGACACACUAACGACGCUGAAAAUACUGAUAAUAGGGGAAAGUGGUGUUGGGAAGUCAAGCCUUCUUUUGAGAUUCACAGAUGACACAUUUGACCCAGAGCAAACGGCAACAAUAGGUCAGGGCAUGGAUCUCUGCUGGGAGCUUUUGCCAAAGAGAUGUCUUUAUUGGAGCUACGCCUCCAUCGUUGACUGAAGUUCCUUUAUUCAGACAGAAAUGUAAUCCGCCAUCACUCCAUCUCGAUUAUUGCAAUUUUCAUCCCUGCCACACCUAAACUGUGUAACCGAGUAACAGUGUCCCA